rnacentral:snoRNA from 1 species
GGCCUCGCAGUGCUUACCACAGGCUGUGUUCUUACACUGACUAUAUAGAAAGAGGAGGCACAGCAAACCUACCCUAUAUACACCUCAGCCCAAGACCUGUGCCUGGUCUAUAUUGUGAACGGAGGGACGUGG